ensembl:lncRNA
CACAUUACAUUAAAACUAGUUACCAUGGUUACCAAAUGGUCACCAUUUAGGUCAUAAAUAGGUCAUAAACAGUUGCUAAGCAACGAGGUUUGAGCUUUGAUCAGAUCACAGAGCUUAGUUAUAGGUCAAUUGCAGCGGACCAAGAAAGGAGAGACAUCGUUUUGAGUUCAGUGCCAUUAUAGUGAAGUACCAGAUUACAAUUUAGGGCAACUGAACAUUUAGGGUAAGUGAAUUUAAAGAAACAAAAUGCAGAAAUUCAUUUCUUAUGUCAUGGGUUGGAAGCCGGCUGUAGAAUCCAACUUUGUGAUGGAAGUGGACUUCAAUUCUGAAGCUCAUGUGCAAGCCAUCGCCCGGCUCACGGAGCGUUUGGAUGGAUACGAAAUUGAGGUUGAAUUUGACAUUUUGGAAGGGGAAACUGACAGUCCAGAGCACAGUCUGGAAAGACACUGUUUGACUGCCUCGGAAGGAGAAACUCCGUCAGCUGACUUUAGACGGACACCCAGUCUGCAAAGCCACUGUUUGACUGCGAUUGAGGUCUUGAACCCCCACAUGGACCCUUUGGGAGAAUUCAUCGUUGACACUUCGGCUCUAUACAGUUUGCCGUCCAACUCAGAGUUGCCCGUCGUUACUGAAAGGGUCACAACAACAACGGACCCUAUUCAGCCAGAAGCAGCUUCUAUCAUAGAGGUGCAAGCUGAGAGCGACACACAAAAUAGGUGGGACGAAAAAGGCUGCAAGACAGUCGUGGAGAAGCUAGUCAGCCGGGUAACGGGGGAUUCAAUAGCAGCUCACCUCCACGAAGCCACCGUUUAUUCACUGACGCAGCAGGUCCUUGAAAAGCUCCAGUAUAUUGACGUAGCCGUGGAGGCACAAAGACACAACAUCAAGAGGGCUGACAUGAAAGCCUACAAGGACCUGCUAAAGCCCAUCGGCUGUAGAAAUACACAGGUGUCGAUUCAGAAGCUAUUUAUGCAGCUGACUGAUGAGCACGUCUGCGAGACACUGGUUAAGCACAUGAUAAAGCCAAAGAAACCCAGCGCCUUCGAAAGAUUCUUGAACGCCACGGAAGAACCGUUCAUUGCCUGUUUCAGACAAACCAAAGUCAAUGACAGCAGUCCAGAGCACAGUCUGGGAA